AGCUCCACGAGCAUGUACGUAAGUUGUUGCAGUUAAAAAGCUCGUAGUUGGAUCUCAGACCUGUGGUCAGUGGUCAGCCUUUAAUGGGUUUGUACUGCUGUACCCGGUCUACGUCUGGUUUAACGUCUGUAGUGCCCUUAACCGGGUGCUGCAGAAUGCCAGAAAGUUUACUCUGAAAAAAUUAGAGUGCUUAAAGCAAGCCGUUUGUGCUUGAAUACUGUUGCAUGGAAUAAUGAAAUAGGACCUCGGAUCUAUUUUGUUGGUUUUCGGAGUCGAGGUAAUGAUUAAGAGGGACAGACGGGGGCAUUUGUAUUGCGCCGUUAGAGGUGAAAUUCUUGGAUCGGCGCAAGACACACGACUGCGAAAGCAUUUGCCAAGGAUGUUUUCAUUA
rnacentral:rRNA from 1 species